rnacentral:rRNA from 1 species
UACGUAGGGUGCAGGCGUUAAUCGGAAUUACUGGGCGUAAAGCGUGCGCAGGCGGUUUGCUAAGACAGGUGUGAAAUCCCCGGGCUUAACCUGGGAACUGCGCUUGUUACUGGCAGGCUUGAGUGUGGCAGAGGGGGGUGGAAUUCCACGUGUAGUAGUGAAAUGCGUAGAGAUGUGGAGGAACACCGAUGGCGAAGGCAGCCCCCUGGGCUAACACUGACGCUCAUGCACGAAAGCGUGGGGAGCAAACAGG